rnacentral:rRNA from 1 species
UACGUAGGGGGCUAGCGUUGUCCGGAAUCAUUGGGCGUAAAGCGCGUGUAGGCGGUCCGGUAAGUCCGCUGUGAAAUCCUGGAGCUCAACUCCAGAACUGCCUUCGAUACUGGAGAGCUUGAGUCCGGGAGAGGUGAGUGGAACUGCGAGUGUAGAGGUGAAAUUCGUAGAUAUCGAGAGGAACACCUGCGGCGAAGGCGGGUUGCUGGGCUGACACUGACGCUGAGGCGCGAAAGCCAGGGGAGCGAACGGG